AAAACAAUAGUAGGUGCUGUCAAUCGUUGAAAAUGAUAAUUUCCCUUGGAAAAUGGUUUUGAUCUCUUACUUUCUCUACACCGAAAAUCCCGCAUGUGAGUCCGUCGCCACAGCAACAGAUUUGGGCACCAAAUUUGGAAAGGAAAAUGAAGCGAGGGCAUCAAUAAGGGGCAGGGCUAAGUCAAAUGGAAGGCGAAAAGCAGAAACUCCUUCAAGACGGAGAGCUAAAUCAGUCAGUCUGGAAUAUUAAUCUGACAAAGCCAUGGUAUUUAGCAGCUUAAUAGUGUUAUCGGUCGCUCAUUUAUCGGCGGAUGUUUCGCAAUCCAUUGCUCGCUUUCCAGAUCCCCUCACCAGCCACCAACUUCUUUACCUUCUCUUCGCUUUCCCUCUUCAACAGCUCUCUCGACUUGCCCUCUCUCUCUGGACCUUCUUCUGUGUUCCUCCACCUGGUUCUUUCUACUAUUACUACUAUUCCUCUGACUCCGAUCUCUCUUCUUACGCCUAUGCUUCCGAUUGACUUUCUAUCUGGGUAUUUCGUGCCUAAUGGAGUUUGGGGAAUACAUCGGCUUUGCAAGAUGGGGAUUUGGGUUCAAAUAUAAUGCAAGCAGGAAUAGACCACAUGAACUUUGAAGAUUGUUGAAGCAAAAUUCUAAAUUUGUUUAAAAUUCUCUCCGAGUCUUCACCAACUAAAUACAACACUUGGGUGUUAUAGAAAUGGAUAUUACAAGGACGUGUCAUCUUUGCUUGAUGAUUUCAACAGUUGAGUUUGAUGAAUUUCCUUGUUGCAACUGAUUCAGUAAUGCGGUUGGUAUUAUGCAUCAUGAGAGUACCAACCAACUAGAAAAGCUCGUUCUUACCUGCAAUCGGUAGGCAGAUGUCCCCUAAUUGAGAUUCAGAUCCGAAGAGUCUUCACCAUUUCGGAUGCAGUCCAUGUGUUAGGGUGUCUCACUUCCAAGUUUCAGCAGCUUCAGUACAUGAAGGCAUGGGGCUUCUCAUCUCGUUGGUCAUCUAUCCAUGGUGAAAAAGUUUGUAGAUAUGGUUUUUUCCAACAAAGGAAAUGUAACAAUGAAAAAGAGAGAAGCGUGCGAGAAUUGUGUGUUUCACUUUCAAUGAACUGAGCUUACAUUGUCGUUCGUUGUAGAACAUUUGUUUCACUUUCUGGUUUCCUUAGUCGAGGUUUGUCAGUAAGUCGGGUUGAUUUGACAUUGUGUGUACUGAUCAUUAGGAAAAUGAUGGCGGCACAUAUUUUACUUGGAUUCCAAAGGAAUGAAUGCCUGUCUGUAAGUAAGUGUUCGAAGAUAAUCAACUUUGAUGCCAAUUACCCGCGAGGGAUGAGUUGGUUUGAUUGGGCUUUGCAUGUUUGACUAUGGACUGAGGAAGCUGUAAUGACGUAUAUUUGUGAAAAAGCACCAAUGUUUGCUUUUGAUUUUA